UACGUAGGGGGCAAGCGUUGUCCGGAAUCAUUGGGCGUAAAGAGCGUGUAGGCGGCUCGAUAAGUCCGCUGUGAAAGUCCAGGGCUCAACCCUGGAAGGCCGGUGGAAACUGCCGUGACUCGAGUCCGGUAGGGGAGUGUGGAAUUCCCGGUGUAGCGGUGAAAUGCGCAGAUAUCGGGAGGAACACCAGUAGCGAAGGCGGCACUCUGGGCCGGUACUGACGCUGAGGAGCGAAAGCGUGGGGAGCGAACAGG
rnacentral:rRNA from 1 species